UACGGAGGGGGCUAGCGUUGUUCGGAAUUACUGGGCGUAAAGCGCGCGUAGGCGGCUUUGUAAGUUAGAGGUGAAAGCCCGGAGCUCAACUCCGGAAUUGCCUUUAAGACUGCAUCGCUUGAACAUCGGAGAGGUGAGUGGAAUUCCGAGUGUAGAGGUGAAAUUCGUAGAUAUUCGGAAGAACACCAGUGGCGAAGGCGACUCACUGGACGAUUGUUGACGCUGAGGUGCGAAAGCGUGGGGAGCAAACAGG
rnacentral:rRNA from 1 species